rnacentral:sRNA from 2 species
GCACCUGCAAAAUCAGGUGUCGGGAUUGGCGUCCUGAAAGCGUGUGCACAGACAAUCUU